CUACGGAGGGUCCGAGCGUUAAUCGGAAUUACUGGGCGUAAAGCGCGCGUAGGUGGAUGUAUAAGUCAGAUGUGAAAGCCCUGGGCUCAACCUAGGAACUGCAUUUGAAACUGUACGUCUAGAGUAUGGUAGAGGUGAGUGGAAUUUCAGGUGUAGCGGUGAAAUGCGUAGAGAUCUGAAGGAACAUCAGUGGCGAAGGCGACUCACUGGGCCAUUACUGACACUGAGGUGCGAAAGCGUGGGUAGCAAACAGGAUUAGAAACCCUAGUAGUCC
rnacentral:rRNA from 1 species